CAAAGCUGUGGCAGCUUUUCACAGGAGCUGGGCUAAGAACAACAACAACAACAAUAAUAACAGCAAUUAACCAUAAUGAGACCUUGUCUGCAGCAGGUUGUUCCUGGAGCUUUGUUAGGCAUGAAGUCAUGAAUUCCCCUGGCCCCUCAGGGCCACAUUUUUCUAGAAGGAAUGGAGGUGAAAGAGGACACAGUUAAUCCUGUGCAGUUCAGACUCUUGCCCUUGGCUGGCAGAGUCUCUGAAAUAAUGCUUCAAAGGGGCGCAUACAGAAACGUAGGAGUCCACCAGAUGGCUAACUAGAUGGCUAAACCACUUAGAUGGGAGAUCGCAAGUCCCGCCUGACAGCACCAGACUGCACAGUAUGCUGCAUGGAGAGUGGCCUGGAGAUGACCUGGAAGUGGCCAUCUGCUGGAAGCCCUAACUGGUGGCAGGGCUGAGCCUCAACCAGCAGACAAGAGAUCUCAGGGAAGAAAGCCUAAGACAGAACAUCACCUACUCUCUAAUAUUAUCCAGCACUCAGAUGGACCCCUAGCUGAGAGUGGGAACAGACAGGGGCAACUUCCGUCCCUCGUUUCAUUUCGCCAGCAGAGAGGAAGAGGUGAGCACUCCAUUGAGAAACAUGGUGCCAUUCAGAGGGGCUGCAUGCUCCUCCUGUGCCAGAGAAUCCCCUGGUGCCUGGGGACCUCCUUCCCUAUCAUGUUGGGUGUUGAUGGUCCUGUGGAAAUGGACCCCCUAUGAAACUAGGUUCUGCUCUGUGUGGCAUUGACCAUGAAUGUCUUUUUCCUGACUGGGUUGUGUUCUCAGCAUGUACUGGGCACCAAGAUGUUCCCAAUUUAUUGAGUACUUUCCACUGUCCUGUUUUACCUCUUAUCCCACGCAGUCCUUCCAACUGCUCUUUGAGUAGGUAUCUCCAUUUCACAGAUGAGAAAACCGAGACAGAGAGAAAUGAAGUAGGAAACGAUGUAAGGUCACAUUAAGUCUCACGUGGCAGGCUCAGGAUUGAACCCAGGUAGUCAGACUCCUAAGCCUGCUCUUUUGACCAUAAUGCUAUACUGCCCAGAAUUCCAAUUCCGUCACCCCACUCUCCUGCUCAGAAUUCUUGAGGUGGGGAGGGUAUAGCUCAGUAGUAGUGUGCAUGCCUGGCAUGCAUGAGGUCCUGGGUUCAAUCCCCAGUACCUCCAUUAAAAAAAAAAAGAAUUCUUGAGUGGCUUAUUCUGUGAUAAACAGGUUAAUGGAGCCCUAAAGAUGUCCACAUCCUAAACCCUGGAACCUGUGAAUAUGUUACCUUACCUUGGUGAAAGGGACUUUGCAUAUGGGAUUAAGUUAAGGAUCUUGAAAUUCGGACCUUAGCCUGGAUUAUCCGAUGGGUCCAAUCUAACCACAAAGGUCCUUCAAAGAGAGGCAGGAGCAUUAGAGUCCAAGAAGGAGAUGUGACCAUGGAAGCAGAGGGCAGAAUGGUGUGGCUGCUGGCUUUGAAGAUGGGAGAAGAACAUGAGCCAAGAAAUGUGGGCAGUUUCUAGAAACUGGAGCGGGCGUAGAACUGACUCUCCCCAAGAGCCUCCAGGAGGAACACAUCCUACUGAUGCCCUGAUGUUGUCUCAGUGCAACUUCUGACCCCAGAACUGUCAGUAAACCUGUGUUGUCUGAAGCCACUAGGUUUGUGCUUAUUUGUUACAGCAGCAGCCAGAAACUAAUACAGCUCCCCUUGCUUAAAGGGAAAUCUGAACUGCUUUGCAAGGCAAUUAAGGGCCUCAUGUUCUCUUCCCCUUGGCUGACUGCCUAGCUGUUAGCUCAUGGCCACCCCACUCCCACUCCCACCCCCACCACGCUCUACACACUGAACUUCGUCAGGAUCCUCAGCAGGCCAUGUCCUUUCUUACGUCAAUGCCUUCGCUUGUGCUGUCUCUUCCAUCUGGAACACCCUCUUCUCACUUGUUUGCCUGGCAAACUCCUCAUCCUUUAUGUCUCAGCUGAAACAAUACCUCCUCUGCGAAGCUUUUCCUCCUUCCCCCAAAGGAACGUAGAGCUCCUUUCCUGCAUUUCAUGCCUCUGCCUCAUUUCAUGUGCACUCCCAUCAAAGCUGUAUUUUAAGGACCCAUCUGUUUCCUUCCUGAAUUAUAAGCUAUUUGAGGGCACAGGACCUCUCUUUCCACCUUUAUCCUCCCUUAGCACCUAGCAGAGUCCCCAGCACCUAGCAAGGUGCCCAGCACAUCAAAUAAAGUUCUCCAGAGACUAGAGCUCCUUUCAUGACCUGUGCCCUGGACCAGUGAUGCAGCUUCCCCAGCCCCAUUUCUCCAUCGAUAACAAGCACUGGGGGCAUCAUCCCUUCCCUUCUCUACUGAGAGAUGAAAACAAAGGAAAGCAGACAUGGAAGUGUUUCAAAUUGAAAAAGAAAAGGCGCUAAUCAAAGUUUUGUAAUAUUCCAUUUGUACCCACGGUGUACAAUGCUUCCUCUCCAAGUCUCAGUUUCUUCAGCUGGGAAAUGGGUCUAGAGGCAAGCUGCACCAAAGACAGGAACUGUGGCUGCUUCCCCUCCCUGCUGUAUCCCCAUCUACACUGCUCUUUACUCUCGGGUAAAUUCUCUGAUGUUGGUUGGUGAAGACCCUGAGGGAAAUUCUUCCACAUUCUUUGGAUUCAUGGUUCUCUCUAAUGUACACGCCGAUAUUGGGUAUCGUCUUGAGAGGAGGGUUCCCCACAGUCACCUUCUCUGUAACUGAGCUCUGUGACACUGAGUCACAUGUGCCUUCCAAGCCUCCAGACUCACCUGAGGGUUCUCCCGCGGACGUCAGAUACAGGUUUCCCUCCAGCAGGAAUUCUCUGAUGUGUAUGGUGGUUGCAUAAAGAUGGUGUAUAAAGGAAGGCUUAUUCACAUUUAUUACACUUACGAAUGUUUUUUCCUGUUUGAAUUCUCUGAUGUGUAAUGAGAAGUAAAAGACUAAUGGAGGUCUCAAUAAAGUCCUAUUACGUCUCCAGCCCUGGGCUGAGGGGCUCCAAGAUAUAAAGAAUGGCCUCUGCCCUUUAGACACUCGCCAACUGACUUGGGGGACAAAAUUCACGUACAUGAAACAGCUGGGGAACACAAGGCAUUGUGUAGUCAUGCCAAGCUGUAGAAUUUAGCAGAAUUCAAUGGGAAUUCAGAGAAAGAAGCAGACAACUAGAGAUUGACCAGAUGGGAAACAUGCAUGGAAGAGGUGAGCCUGUAGCUCCACCUGAAAGGAUGGUAGAAAUGGUAGAAUUGACAUAUCAGAAAUUGACACAUUGUAACUGACUAUACUUCAAUUAAAAAAAAAAGAAAUGGUAGAACUGAGGCUGGAAGAGAGAAGAGGAAGGUGUUCCCAUUGAAAAGGGGAGGGAGGAAGAAGGAGGGAGGGAGGAAGAAGGAAGGGAAAGAAACUCAAAUGUAGGAAUUUGCCCCUUGAUUUAGGAAACUACCACAAAUUUAAGGCAACAGCCUUUGAAAACUGUGUUUCUCUAAUGCUUUUCUUGUUUUAGAGCUCAAGCCACUUUCAUUUCUACCAGACACACCUAAAAAGGAAAGCUCCAUCACUGCAUUUUAUAUGCCAGCACCGCCCCCGCCCCCGCCCCCCCCAGCAUUCUUGGGGCCCAUUCCACUUCCACAACCUGGAGUGUCACCCCCAGGGUGACAGAGGCACCAAAGCGGGGAGAGAACCCCACCUAAGAGAGUUCCAGGAAAGCACCCCAGAGGCUUAUAUUCAAGCAGGUGGGAGCUCUCUGUCCUCCACCCCACCCCCGCACCCCCACCAUCACUUCCUCUAAAAAAAUUUCCAUAUGGAAUACUGACACUUAGAAUGAAGGCCAUCAGAUCCAAAGGCCUUUCACGUGAUCAUGUUAGUUUUAUAGAAGUUUUGUGAAAACACUCGGAGUUUUCUUGUUUUCCCCAUUCCACAGAGGGCGGCAAAUGAGCCAGAGGGUGGAACUUGCAGUGUCUUGUCUUGGUUAGACAGUUGGAGGACUUUUAUGCCAAUUACAGUGCUUAAACACUGACUCAACAUCCAACAACUGCGUGAGGGGUUAGAGCCUUCAUUCAUGGACAAGUUUCAAAAUGAAACACAGGGGCACCACUUCUCAUGGGCAAUGUAGUCAGAGAACAGAGCAGAGUGUGGAUUUCAUCCUCAACAAGGUGGCUGCUUUCUGGAGAGGUGGCAGAAUCUGGUACUUCCCAGCACAGUGAAAUUGGGAAAUGCCUUUUGCAGCCCUUCUCAGCUUCAUUGCCCAUAUGGUUUGUUUGUACGUGGAGUUUUAGGCUCUUAAUUCCGUCCCUGCUUCCUGUGUCCACUUCCUUAAGAGACUGAAUUCAAGAAGGGUGGGGCCUCGCUCCCCUGCCCCCAUCUCGGGGGAGAACAGAUUGGGAGCUGGUGCCUUGUGGGUCUUACCAUGUGGACAUCCUGUUGGAACAGUCUCCACUCCUCCCCAGCACGGCACGCUCUGCAAAGAA